rnacentral:lncRNA from 1 species
AGGACAAACUAUCUUAGAACUUGACAGAGAUAACAGGAGAGAAACUUUACAAAUUUGGUGAAUAUACAAAUCCUUAACUAUUGGCACACCUCUUAGAAUAUCCCUCAUGACACAUAAGUUUCCACACUAGAGAAUAAUUAUGAUCAAAAGAAACUUGUGAAAACCUUGAGUAAUGUUCAAAUCUUAGAAAAUACCAAGAGUUUAUGCUGAGGGAAAAUCUGAAAAUGUGACAAUGUAGGAAAUUUUUUCUUCAACCUUUUUACUUGUUAAACUUAAUACUUUGUUUGACUUUUAGUCAGUCUUUCAGCUUUGCUCAAACUUUAUUAAACUUGUUCAUCCUCAAAUAAUUCAUAAUGAGGACAAAAUGGAGAAGCCAGAAGAAUGUGAUAUUGUGUAACAGUUUUCUGCAGACUGAAAUGACCCAUUCUGAAGGGAUUGUGAUUAAGACAGCAAAUACAUACCUCAAAAUAGCUUCAAGAAAUCCCUGAAAGUGACAGCAUUGUCUGCUUAAGUCAAAUGAUGAAACCCAGAAAAGAAUAUACCUCUUAAAAGAGGAUUUUACAAAGUGUCAACAAAAUAGGAUGCAUUACUAAAUGAAUUAUUACACAUUAAUUUUUCCAUCUGAGAGGUAUAAAUGGUAGAAUGUAAAUACUGUUUUCAGAAAUGUAUAAUUAUAUGCUAAACUGUUAAUGUUAACCCUUAUGGUGUAAAAUAACUGCACUAUGUAUGCUGUGAGAAUAUCAGGCUAUACUACAUUUAUAGAUGGAAAAUUCAGUGUACAUUAGGACAAAAUUCAAAACCAUCUUUUAAAUAAUUAUGAUUCAUCAAUUAUGUUAGAAAAAUUUACUCUAAUUUUCUUAUGUCUCCUGCGUUCAUCAAAAGCACUAUUCACAUUGAUGAAUUGUUAGAUUACCUUGGUCUUGUUUCUUUUUGCUGGGUAUAUAUUUCAGUGUGCUACCCUGUCUGUGUCAGAACACCCAAUGUAGACCAAGCCUGGACUCUGCCUCCUGGAUGCUAGAAUUAAAGCACUGUACAGAAUUUGAUGAUAGUUCUUAUCAUUAUGCACUUCAUUCAGGAGGAAUUGUAAUGUCCAGGCCCUAAUUACUGUGCUUUGUACAUAGAUUUGAUAUUGAAGAAUUGCAGUAGUCAUGUUUGUGUGAAUGCAAAUAGCAUGCUGCACUCUGUAUCGAGCCUUGGGGUUCUAGUGAAAACAUCAAAUGUGUGAUUUCUCUGGGAAUGAUUCAUACAUCUCACAGAAAAAAAAGGAAGAACUUCAGAGUAGAAAUAAACAUUGCAUGGUAUUUUCAAUUCUUCACAUUGGUCCUUUGGGCAGUUGUAAGGCUUCUUUUAUUUCUGUUUUGUGAUAAAUUAAGAAACUCAGGAGUGUAAAAUAGUCAUCCCAAUUAUUCUGCUCCAUGCUAGUGAUGGAGUUUCAAUCGAUCUUUGAGUAGGAGUGGUGGAGAUCAAGUUAUGCUACCUAAAACCUUUCUCUAAGGAGUUAUUACUGUGACAUUACAUGAUAGUUGAGUCUUGUAGAAUAUCUUCUAUGUAGUCUUCCCUUUAUUUUCAGAGCAUAGCACUGUGUUAGAAAUCCUAGAUGUUUUGAAAAAGUCACUUUCCCAUAGCUUGGGCUGAAUGAAACAGACCAGAGACCUGGAAUGUAUACUGAACUUAAAAUGAAUAAAUGAUACCAGAUAUUCUGCAGGAAAUUGAGGUAGGAGUAAUGGAAGAUUCAAAUGACAUUGGAAAUAGAAUGAAGAAAGAAGUUGGCUCAGCAGCAGGUAACACUUGAUUUUCUUGAAGAGGACAUGAGUACAUUUCCCACCACCAGCACAGUGGCUGACAAAAUUCAUAAUUUUAAUUACAGUAGAUCAGGUGCUUUCUGGCCUCAGCACCUACCAGCCACAAGCAAGCUACAUGCAUACAUGUUGUAAAACAUUGAUACAUAGAAGCUAAAGUAAAUAAUCUAAUGAACAUUUUAAAGACAAACGUGUAAAUGGGAAAUGAAAUAUUGAUUUUCUAUAUUCUGUUUCUCUAGAAAUUAAUCUAGAAUAUACUGUAAUGUCAAGAUUAUCCUAUUGUGUAUGUUACUGACAUUUUAUGUAAGCAUAAUAGGGAAAAAUAUAAUUUGUUUGACUGUGUACGUGUCCCAGGUGUGCACAUAUAUCUAUUAUAUGAAUGUCAUUGCUUUCAUUUUAGGAUACUUGUAAAACUAGAAAUAUUUCUGCCUCUUAACUUUUCCCCCUAAUCUAAUGUUAAUUGUUUCUGUUGUUCCUUUAAUGUCUUUCUUUUGUGGUCAGUUUUGGGUUUUUGUUGUUGUUGUUGUUGUUGUUGUUGUUGUUGUUAUUUGUUUUUUGUUUUUCCAUUUCCUAAUAUAAUACCAGCAGGACUUUGGUUAAAAUUGCUUAGUAUGUUUACACAGUAUUAUACUUUGUCUAUAUUGUCUUCUUCUUGACAUCUCUUGUUUUCUCUCUUCACACCAUUACUCUAUGAUAUCCUUUGCAAUAAUUAUAAGAGAUUUUGGAUCUUGGUUCAACCUUCUGAAUAGUUUUUUAAUUCUUUCAGCUUUCUUGAAUGUUGAUAUCUUUUUAAUAUUGAUUUGUUCACUUUGCAGUAAUUGUCCAUUCCUCUUGAAACAAUUUGAUUGCAAACUUUAGGAAAGUGAAAAUUCUUGCUGAUGGUGUUCCCAUAUGAUGAGAAUUGGAUAGGGGUUCCUUAGUGUUGACAUGUUGUACAUUUAUUUUUCUUGUUGUGUUGCUAUUUAUGUGCAUGUCAUCAGUGCGUAACGACUCAUUGCAAGAAUCUACUACAAUUAGUCAUAUCAUAAAAAAAGCAUAUGUGUGAUAAAGUUAAUUUUAUGUGAACUUUUGCCUGUUUGAUGAUUGAAGUUACACACUGACUUAUAUGUUGACUGCAGUAAGUUGGUAGAGUGUGUCUCCGUUCUUUCAUUUACAUUUUCUGCAGAAUUGAUUAUUUUUUUAGUAUAGUUAGUAUGCCCAGUGACAAGGCAGAGAGGGAUUUUGAGUUACACUCUCUUGUGUGGCCAAAAGCUAUUGACUUGUGGCAAUUAACUCCUAUUUUAGCAGCAAGGAAUUUAGUAAAGAAGUCAGUUACUUGGGUUCUUUGUUCUUUGACUUGUGGACCCCUCUCUACUCACUUGAGAGGCGCAGACUUUAACUCUUUGUGAGCCAGAAAAAAAAGGAAGAAAGUCACACAUACAAGAAACACAUUCACUCUAUAUGGAGCAGAAAAAGAGGCUCUCAAAAACCUUUGUUGCUGAGAUAAAGAAAAGCUCCAACCUCUCCUUUUAUUUCUGUUCUCAGUAUGUCUACUGUCUCUAAAGAAUUACCUCAUACAAUUCAAGUAAAACUAUUACAACAGGAUAAUUGAUUAUGACUUUCUAAAAACGUUUACAUUCUAAUAAGUUCAUAGUAAGUUUAAGGCAAUAAUUCUUGUCAUAAGUUGAUAAGACGUCCUGAAGAUAGAGAUGAUACCCACCCAUCUUCAAAUUUUUUGACCCAUAAUUGUUCUUGUUUAAAGGAAAUGCAGGCAAAAACAUGGAGCAGAGACUGAAGGAUAGGUCAUAAAGUGACCAACCCACCUUGGGACCCAUUCUAUGUGCACACAAUAAACCCUGACAUUAUUAC